rnacentral:rRNA from 1 species
UACGGAGGGUGCAAGCGUUGCUCGGAAUUAUUGGGCGUAAAGGGUAGGUAGGUGGUCUCAUUUGUCUGGGGUGAAAGCCUUGAGCUUAACUCAAGAAGUGCCCCAGAAACGGUGAGACUGGAGUCCUGGAGAGGGUCGUGGAAUUCCCGGUGUAGCGGUGAAAUGCGUAGAGAUCGGGAGGAGCACCAGAGGCGAAAGCGGCGACCUGGACAGGCACUGACACUCAACUACGAAAGCGUGGGGAGCAAACAGG